ACGCCUGCCCAGUGAACAAUUAAACGGCCGCGGUACCCUAACCGUGCAAAGGUAGCAUAAUCAUUUGUCUACUAAUUAUAGACCUGUAUGAAAGGCAAAAUGAGGGCUUAACUGUCUCUUAUAGUAAAUCAAUUAAACUGAUCUCCUAGUAAAAAAGCUAGAAUGACCACAUAAGACCAGAAGACCCUGUGAAGCUUAAACUAAACUAUUAAACCCAAUAAUAACUACUUUAGGUUGGGGCGACCUUGGAAAAAAGAAUAACUUCCAAAAGUCUAAUGACAAAACAUAGGCCAACAAGCCUAUAAUAAAAGACCCAGCAACGCUGAAAAUUGAACCAAGUUACUCCAGGGAUAACAGCGCAAUCUUCUUCAAGAGCCCAUAUCAAAAAGAAGGUUUACGACCUCGAUGUUGGAUCAGGACAUCCUAAUGGUGCAGAAGCUAUUAAGGGUUCGUUUGUUCAACGAUUAAUAGUCCUACGUGAUCUG
rnacentral:rRNA from 1 species